rnacentral:tRNA from 1 species
CACAGUGUAGCUUAACACUAAAGCAUCUGGCCUACACCCAGAAGAUUUCACAACAAAUGAACACUUUGA